CAGCCGCCACGGUAAUACGGAGGGGGCUAGCGUUGUUCGGAAUUACUGGACGUAAAGCGCACGUAGGCGGCUUGGUAAGUUAGAGGUGAAAGCCCGGAGCUCAACUCCGGAAUUGCCUUUAAGACUGCCGAGCUAGUAGGUGAGAGAGGUAAGUGGAAUUCCGAGUGUAGAGGUGAAAUUCGUAGAUAUUCGGAAGAACACCAGUGGCGAAGGCGGCUUACUGGCUCAUUCUAGACGCUGAGGUGCGAAAGCGUGGGGAGCAAACAGGAUUAGAUACCCGCGUAGUCCCUGUCUCUUAUAA
rnacentral:rRNA from 1 species